rnacentral:rRNA from 1 species
UGACCUCGAUCAGGAGGUUACAUUU